UCAAUAAAAAAAUCCACCCUGAACACGUCUGAUCUCCUUUGAUCUUGGAAGCUAAGCAGGGUUGGGCCUGGUUAGUACUUGGAUGAGAGAUAACCUUUCUUAAGUCUGAUUCUUGCAUGAA
rnacentral:rRNA from 1 species